CCAAGAUGUAGCUCAGUGGUAGAACAUUUGCCUAGUGUGCACAGGCCCUGGAUUCAAUUCCUAGCACUAGGG
rnacentral:tRNA from 1 species